AGUGAACGCUGGCGGUAGGCCUAACACAUGCAAGUCGAACGGCAGCACAGUAAGAGCUUGCUCUUACGGGUGGCGAGUGGCGGACGGGUGAGGAAUACAUCGGAAUCUACUUUUUCGUGGGGGAUAACGUAGGGAAACUUACGCUAAUACCGCAUACGACCUACGGGUGAAAGCAGGGGAUCUUCAGACCUUGCGCGAUUGAAUGAGCCGAUGUCGGAUUAGCUAGUUGGCGGGGUAAAGGCCCACCAAGGCGACGAUCCGUAGCUGGUCUGAGAGGAUGAUCAGCCACACUGGAACUGAGACACGGUCCAGACUCCUACGGGAGGCAGCAGUGGGGAAUAUUGGACAAUGGGCGCAAGACUGAUCCAGCCAUACCGCGUGGGUGAAGAAGGCCUUCGGGUUGUAAAGCCCUUUUGUUGGGAAAGAAAAGCAGCAGGUUAAUACCCCGCUGUUCUGACGGUACCCAAAGAAUAAGCACCGGCUAACUUCGUG
rnacentral:rRNA from 1 species